rnacentral:rRNA from 1 species
AGUGGGGAAUAUUGGACAAUGGGGGGAACCCUGAUCCAGCCAUGCCGCGUGUGUGAAGAAGGCCUUUUGGUUGUAAAGCACUUUAAGCGAGGAGGAGGCUACCUAGAUUAAUACUCUGGGAUAGUGGACGUUACUCGCAGAAUAAGCACCGGCUAACUCUGUGCCAGCAGCCGCGGUAAUACAGAGGGUGCAAGCGUUAAUCGGAUUUACUGGGCGUAAAGCGUGCGUAGGUGGCCAAUUAAGUCAAAUGUGAAAUCCCCGAGCUUAACUUGGGAAUUGCAUUCGAUACUGGUUGGCUAGAGUAUGGGAGAGGAUGGUAGAAUUCCAGGUGUAGCGGUGAAAUGCGUAGAGAUCUGGAGGAAUACCGAUGGCGAAGGCAGCCAUCUGGCCUAAUACUGACACUGAGGUACGAAAGCAUGGGGAGCAAACAGGAUUAGAUACCCUGGUAGUCCAUGCCGUAAACGAUGUCUACUAGCCGUUGGGGUCUUUGAGACUUUAGUGGCGCAGCUAACGCGAUAAGUAGA